UUUGGUCGAUUGAUUCCUCCCAAAUUUUAAUUGCCGUUGGAAAAAGCAUCACAUUCAUUGACCGCCUCUCGUCUCUUCUGAGUCGCCUCGAAUUCUCCGGCUGCGACGACGCCGCCGAUGCCGGCUGCUCAUCGUGGCUUCAGGCGCCGCCGACGUGGAAGCAAUCUCCGUGUUUAUUUAAUCGAUGAGGCGGAAUUCACGUCACCAUCGACCUCCUCACGGACUCGCCGUCUGAUUUCGUUGACACCGAUUCUCGCCGAUCGGUGAGAGGCGCUCCAGGAUCCACUGGGCAGUCGCUGCCGUCGGAGUCUCACUUCGGUCGGUGUCAUACUCCAGCCAUCUCGGCUGCAUCGUCACUGUCAAUUUCGUCGGACUGCUGUGGACUUCGCGGCUUAGAGGGAAGCUUUAACAGCAAUCUUUCUACUCCCUCAUGGAGAGUUUGUAUCUGGCUGGUGCUCGUCAAACGUCCUACGAAGAGGAUGCACCAUUAGAAUGAGAAGGAUCUGUUUCUCAACAUGUUCAUUCGGUUCAUAGAGGACUAUUAGAAACUGUCAGAUGACACAGUUAGCAAGAACUUAUGUUCACUGUUAAGUCAUGCAGAGUCUUUAGUUCCAGGAUUUUUGAAUGAAGAUGAUGUACAACUGCCUAGGUUAUUUGUAAGUCAGUUUGAGUGCCGAAUCGUUCGUGCUGCAUCGGAAAAUCAUUUAGUCCAUGAGCUUGGGAAGCGGUGGACUGCAGGAGCAACUAGCUUCCUGUAUUGGACUCCCGGCCCUGAUGAAAAAAAGAGGAAUAAGCUUCAUAAAAAGGAAUUUUAAUGCCAGAAAAGGAAGGUAGGAAGGUAAGACCGAUCUUGUAAAGAUGACAGCGAAGAUGGCAGUAUAUAUUUAAAGAAAACAAUUUAAUCGAUCAAUGAAAAUUGAAUGUUGGAAAGUUUCGAAGAUGAUCUAAAUUGACAGAGUAUUAUGUUUUUUAUUCUGAUAAUGAUACACUGGUAGAGGUUUGCUUUCUGCAUUUUGGUAUGUGAGAAGGUACCGGGUUUCCAGCAGGUAGGACAUCCGAACUUUUAUUGUAGUCGUCAAAUCUUGGUCUUUGCAGAUUCUGGUAACACUUCUUCUCAUCUUUUUCGGGUGUCAUUCAAACCCGUAUAUACUCAACUUGUGAUGUUUCCUACUUAUACAUGGGUGCCUAACUGCUAUUUAUUCUCAUUCAUGCCUGAUAUGUUGAUUUUAUAGAGAAUUUAAAUGUUUUUUUUGUAAUUGACAUGUUAUGUGAUUAAGAGUAAAUUUCCGAGAGGUUGUCUGUCAUGGCUCUCUAAUAUGUGCAUCUCCCUAGUUUUUAAUGAUUUCAUACACAUCACCAAUUGAUAAACAACGGAUAUUAGCUUCAUAAAUAUCCAAAAAUUGCCCUAGUACUAUGCUACUUGCUAUUUGUGUAUGCAUGCAAGAUCUUCUCUAUAUUGAUUGUCACUACUUUCACCACUUUUUUAUGGGUUAUUAGUGUAGGCUUCAUUUCUCUCAAGGGUUGGUCUGUAAACUUGUUGCUUACUAACUUCUGAAGAACUAGGUUUCCCGUGCUUCAGAUAAAGUGACAAGAGUGUUCUUUGGUGCCCGAUUUCUUGAGCUAAGGAGAGAGAACUAUUCCGGUUUUGAAAAAUUAAUUGAAAAAGCCAUAGGGCCGAUCGACUGAAUGAGAGCUUUAUGAGUUGCAAUCUUGUUGACAUUGGUGCAUAAAAAUGAUUUAGGCAAUAGGACAAAAAGCCUCAUAUCCAAAUUAUCACAUGCCUAACCCUACAUAAACCCCUAGUGAGCCAGUUUGAGCCGCAAAAGCCUAAUUUCUUUGUUGAAAAUUUUGAAGUACUAUAUUAGCCUGCUUAUUAUAUCCUUUUUUUGGCCUAUAUUUUCUACCCUAGUCACUAAAAAUAAAAUGCUAGCACAUUCUCUGGAGGGUAUUUAUGGUGGCAAGAAAAAGAUGGAAAUCCUGGAAAAUUCUUGGGAGGGUAUUUAUGGUGGCAAGAAAAAGAUGGAAGUCCUGGAACAUUCAUCAGGAGGUAUUCAUUUAUACUGAGAUACAAAGUGAAAAGUUGUGUCUUCAAGCAAAAAUAAAAUAAAAAGGCAGCCUUUAAUGUGUAAAAAAAAUCCAAGGCUAGAAAAAAAAGGCAGCCUUUCAUGUGUAAAAAAAGCCAAGGCUAGAAAAAUAAAAGGUAACCUUUCAUGUGUUAAAAAAAAGCCAAGGCUAGUAAAAAAAAUAAAAAUAAAAGGCAGCCUAUGAUGUGUAAAAAAAAGCCAAAGGCUAGAAAAAAAAGUGAAAAAUAGAAAUCUGCUCAAAAGAAUAAGAUGACUUUGUUUAGAUGGUAGAAAAAUUCAAGUUUGGGGUGUUGAGCUGUCAGAAUUUUGCACGCAUUGAGUGAGAUGUGAAGGAUGUUGUGAAGGAUGCUAUGAUGGAUGUGCUAGUAUUUUAAGAAUGUGAUAAGCUACUUAACCAAAUAUGAUCACACCUUUACCAAAAGCCCCAUUACAUCCAAAUGAAUAAGACCUUUUGAUUUAUGCAUCAUAUUGACUUGUGAGCGAUAAAUUUUGCUUGAGUUUGGGAGAAAGAUCUUAUGUGCUUAAAAUAAAGAAUAGCCGGAAGAAACUCUCUUUAUGAAUUAGUGACGAUGGUUUGAGACUCCCAAUACAUAAAUCGAACUUACAUUGAAGCAUUGGGAUGCCUAACUCUUAGGGAAUUAGUUCGUGUACAAUUCUUGUUCUAAAGUCUUACCCGCGAGUGAAUUCGGGGUCAACCUAAUUUCUCUAAAUGAUUUGUGUGAUUUGACGUGACUUGAAGUAGAGGAUUAUCUAAUGUCUUGUGAAUGUGCUUAUUUGUCUAACUUGACUUGAAGUAGAGCAAGACUUAUGUUUGGGGGUAUUUGAUGUGUGUGGGUAAUUGUUUAACUUGUUAUUAUACAAUGGAUGGAAUGGAGGGUAGCGCACUACUGCUCCAGUUCAGUUUUGACCAUCUCACUAUUUAUUCCAGUGAGUUGAAGGGUAUAAAGCUGCAACCAAUAUUUACUUCAAUAGUCAAACAUUUAUUUUUAUAAACCUAACUUUAGUUCAAUAUUUAGUGUGUCAUUUCAUACUAAAGCCAUCAAUGAAGAACUAUUGCAAAAUCUUUCUGAUGCUCUAAACUUGUCGGUACCUGAUAAAAUUGGGGUUGUACUUGCGUUGUCUAAUUCUGAAUAACACGAUAUAUAUUCACUAUGCCUGGAUGUGUGGUUAGUUAUUUUCUUCUUUGUACAUACAUUUAGAUAUAAUUUUUUGUUUAGUUGUAGGAAGUGGAAUACAUACAACAGUUUAUAAUUUUUAUCUCUUUGGGAUUCUUCUACAUGCUGCACUAAACCUGUAACCCUUUUCUUGGUUGUAUGCAGGAAAGACUUUGUGUUUGAGUUUAGGGUUGUUUGAGUCAGAUCACAGAGCAAUCAUGCUGCAUUUGAGGCUACUGAGAUAAUUCAGCAUAUUCUAGUGUUACUCGUAGUCGAUUUGAAGACCUCUCUAAGCAUUUAGAUUCAUUCUUGCAUAAAUAGACUAGAAAGUACUUAGUCGAUCUAAAGGUCGAGGGUGGUAGGGGGCGACUGAGUUCUUAACAUAAAAGAAACCAGUGGAAAGGAUGGAAAACUGAAGAUCCUAUUGCAUAAAUAGACUAGAAAGUACUUAGUCGAUAUAAAGGUCGAGGGUGGUAGGGGGCGACUGUCGAGGGUGGUAGGGGGAGACUGAGUUCUUAACAUAAAAGAAACCAGUGGAAAGGAUGGAAAACUGAAGGCACAAGUCUAUUUAUUGAUUUUUGAGCUUGCUUUGCUUGAUCAUUUGCUUCUUGGUUGUUGCACCUAUAUUUUUCUGCUUAUUUAAUUCAUUCGUUGCUGCAUUUUGCAGAUUUAUAAUUAAUCUGUUAAAUAUAUUAUAUUUUUGUGAGUUAUACUGUGGCUGACGUUUUUAUUCUUUUUCUAAUCCACUGUUUGCUGUCUUGCUACUCUAUAAAUAAUACAUACAUAGUAUCCUAUUUUUCUUUAUCUCAUAUGCCUGUACAAAUAUGUGCUAUAUUAGUGUUUCUUUGAUAUAUAAACCCCCAUUGAUUGUCAAAUCUUGGCAUCUUAAUAUAUGCUUUUACAGGCUCUUUCCCAAGUACUUACUAGACACAUUUGCUUUUUACUUUCGCAUUAGGUUUGCUGAACUUGCAUCUAAAAAAGAAAUCAUGGGCCAUGGAAGCUGGUUGAGCACUCAAUUGAGUCUAUAACAAAUGUUCUUGCAUUGCUGAAAAAAUGUUUGGUAUAGAUUCAAGAGAGUUAAAUGCUCCCACCGAGGCAAGUUACCCGAAGGGACUGGAACGUAAUACAAAGCGCUUGGCAGAUGUCGUCUCAGAUGCUUCAAAUUUUCGGUCAUUCAUUAUGAUAAACUUUAGGGAAGCUUUAGCAGCAAUCUUUCUACUCCCUCAUGGAGAGUUUGUAUCUGGCUGGUGAUCGUCUAACGUUCUAGUUUGUGAAGAGGAUGCACCAUUAGAUGUACCUCGUUCAUCUUAUGCUCAUCAGAAAACGUCUUUGUUGAUUAAAGUGAUUGUAAACCUUCAUUGCUUUGUUCCUGAUGUAUACCAGGAUGAGAAAGAUCUGUUUCUCAACAUGUUCAUUCGGUUAAUAGAGAAGGACUAUCAGAAACUGUCAGCAUUUUGGUAUGCGAGAAGGUACUAGGUUUCCCAGCAGGAAAGACUUUGUGUUUGAGGCAGAUUACAGAGCAAUCAUACUGCGUUUGAGGCUACUGAGAUAAUUCAGCAUAUUCUAGUGUUACUCGUAGUUGAUUUGAAGGCCUCUCUAAGCAUUUAGAUUCAUUCUUGCAAAUGUUAUCUCUUGUGCUGCUAAGUUGUUUUCUGUGAUUGUUCCUAGUGCAUAAAUAGACUAGAUAGUACUUAGUCGAUCUGAAGGUCGAGGGUAGUAGGGGCCGACUGAGUUCUUAACUUAAAAGAAGCGGGGGGAAGGGUCGAAAAAUGAAGGCACAAGUCUAUUUAUUGAUUUUUGAGCUUGCUUUGCUUGAUCUUCUGUUUCUUGGUUGGUGCGCUUAUAUUUUUCUACUUAUUUAAUUCAUUCUUUGCUGCAUUUUGCAGCUUUAUAAUUAAUCUGUAAUAUAUAUAUAUAUAUAUAUACAUAUAUAAUAUUAUAUUUUUGUGUGUUAUACGACGUUUUUCUACUUUUUCUAAUCCACUAUUCUCUUCUUUGUACAUACAUAUAGAUAUAAUUUUUGUUUAGUUGUAGGAAGUGGAAUACAUACAACAGUUUAUAAUUUUUGUGUCCUUGGAAUUCUUCUACAUGUUGCACUACUAAACCUGGAACCCUUUUCUUGGCUGUAUGCAGGAAAGAAUUUCUGUGACUUAGAUUACUGAGUUGUGUGCCAAUUCUGUUACGUUUGAGGCUUCUGAUGUAAUUUAGCAUAUUCUCGUGUCACUCUUAGUCGAUUUGAAGGCCUCUCUAAGCAUUUGGAUUCAUUCUAUUUGAAGGCCUCUCUAAGCAUUUAGAUUCAUUCUUUCCAAUGUUAUCUCUUGUGCAACUAAGGUGUUUUCUAUGAUAGUUCCUAGUGCAUAAAUAGAGUAGAAUAUACUUAGUCGAUCUGAAGGUCGGGGGUGGUAGGUGGCAACUGAGUUUUUAACUUAUAAGAAAUGGGGGAAGGUGUGGAAAAUAGAAGGCACAAGUCUAUUUAUUGGUUUUUGAGCUUGCUUUGCUUGGUCUUCUGCUUCCUGGUUGUUGCGCCUAUAUUUUUCUACUUAUUUUAUUCAUUCUUUGCUGUCUUUUGCAGCUAUAUAAUUAAACUAUUACAUAUAUUAAAUUUUUGUUUGUUAUACUGUGCUUGACGUUUUUCAUCUUUUUCUAAUCCAAUUUUUGCUACCUUGCAGCAUAAUUAAUUAAUACAUGCAUAGUAUCCUAUUUUUCUUUGUCUCCAUGCCGUGUACAAAUAUGUGCAAUAUUAGUGUUUCUUAGAUAUGUAAACCCCAUCGAUUGUCAAAUCUUGGCUUCUUAAUAUAUCUGUUAAACGCUUUUACAGGCUCUUUCCCAAGUAAAGUUACUUACUAGACACAUUUCCUUUUUACUUUGGCAUUCAGUUUGUUGUAUUGCAUCUAAAAAAGAAAUCAUGGGCCUUGUAAGCUGGUGGAGCAAUCAAUGAGUGUCAAGUAAAGAUACUUUCUAUAAGGAUCAGUCAUUAAGCAUCAAUGUGUGACUCGCCUUACGUGGGGUAUUGCUUUACGAGCUGUUUUAGAUGCUUUGAGGAAGCCUGCAGAUUCAGAAGUUUGUUCCUUCCUAGUUUAUCAGUUAAUGUUAUUAUUGUGAAUUUCAGUCUUACCUUGGAUUUAUGACAUUCCUUUGGGAGUAUGGCAUUGGAGCAGUUUGUGGACCAUCUCAUUGAGUGGCCACAGUAUGCCAUCAUAUCCUGCACUUUGUUGCAUUUAUAGAUAGGGCACUCAACAGUAUUUCGGCGGCUUAUACUGAACGUGAUGUUGGCCAUACUGCCAAUACUGAUCACCGACACGGUCAUAUUCAAUCUUCAGCUCCACAUAUAGAGAUUGUAGGCCCAUCAUUUUCUCUGAUCGGACCCAGCAGCAAUUGUCUGGAUUAGCAAUUCCCUCUUCGAUCCCACUGCAACAGAGACCACCAAGUUCUCAGAGUUCACUCCUAAUUACAUGAAUCCAUCACAACACACCUACCCUUCCUAAGUCACUCAGUGGUGCUUUGCUGUCAAUACAAUCUGCCUCGUCGGAUUUCCAUGGUCUUCUAGAUCAACCUCAGCAAGUAAAUAAUCAGGUUUAACUGUGCUACUCUCUCUCACUGUGCGCUUUAUGGAUUACAUUAACAUGGGGACUGGUUUUACAACUAUGAGAAGAGAAACUCCCAUAGAGGUGAUUGGAUGUAGCUGUCUUAUCAUUUUUAAUUCUCUGUUUACACUUUGUUUUGAUCCUUUUGGUUUUCCUAUGCUUUUACUCUGACGAUUUUCUUCCCUGUUAUGAGUUAGCAAUUACAAGUUCUGUUAAUAGCACAUUUAACUUUAUCCCACUGGUUAACUAAAUCUCACACUUCUAAAUUCUUUCUUAACUCCCGAUUACUUUCUCGUUUUCCUUUUCCCCUUUUGUUUCUUUAUUAUUUGUUUUCUUCCAUGUGCAAUGGAGGCGCUCUGAUUCUGGUUCAGGCUGUCAUGAACUUAAAGUUAUCGUGCUCAGACAAUAUUUCCUCAUACAUGGCUGUUAUCUCCUGCCUAAAAUCUAAAGCUUUAUCUAUUCUUUUGCAACUCUGAAGCUGAAGUGUAUCAUAUACCUGGAUGAGGUGGCCAGCAACACAGCAACUCAGGAUAUAUGGCAAAGUCAGUUGGACUCGAGGUUCUUGCAUUGCUGAAAAAAGCUUGGUAUAGAUUCAAGACAGUUAAAUGCUCCCUCCGAGGCAAGUUACCGAACAGGCAACUGGAGCUUAAGACAAAGCUCUUGGCAGAUGCCGUCUCAAAUGCUUCAAAUUAUUUGUCAUUCAUCAUGAAUUGUGUUUAGCGUUUGUAUUUUGUGUAUUGUGUAGUGUUUUUUUGUAUGCAUGUGUAAAGUGUGUUUGCGUAGUGUAGGUAUUUUUGUGUAUUUUGUGUAUA